ACACGUACCGUACGAACGUUAUUCGGAAUCACUGGGCUUAAAGAGUCCGUAGGCGGCUUGGUGGGUGAGGUGUGAAAUCCCACGGCUCAACCGUGGAACUGCGCUUCAAACCACUAAGCUAGAGGGAGAUAGAGGUGAGCGGAACAGAUGGUGGAGCGGUGAAAUGCGUUGAUAUCAUCUGGAACACCGGUGGCGAAGGCGGCUCACUGGGUCUCUUCUGACGCUGAGGGACGAAAGCUAGGGUAGCGAACGGGAUUAGAAACCCCUGUAGUCC
rnacentral:rRNA from 1 species